AGGGGGGGGUUUCAAAGUUGGUGUAGGGGAGAGGACUGGCAGGGCACAGUCCCCUUGGGGCAGGCAAAGGGACGCGUUACUCUUCAGCACGAUGUCAGCGUGUACAGGGCAAGGCAGCUCCAACCUGUGUCUGGCGUGUACUUCAUGUUGUCUGUUUUCCGUGUCUCAGACUGUAUGUUCCUUGGGUCUUGGUGCCUCCAUAGCCUGGUCAUCAGCAGGCACCUCAGUAGCCCUCCCAAGAGUCCGGAAUGCAUCACUUCACAGGCACAGAGCCUGUUGAGCCCUUCUCAUCUCACAAUUACAGCUUGACGCAUGGAUCUCUUUGGCGUGUGUCACAUCCUGGCUGUUUCUGAGCGUUCAUCUCUUGCGGUGGCCAGCCAGGUGCUGCCCGCAGCUCUGCUCUUGAGUCUGCUGUUUCCACAGAGUCAUUUUCUGGGGUUUCAUCCCCAUGUCCUCACUGGUCUUGGGUCUUCAAGCAUGGCUUCUCACACAUCCCUUAUUCUGGUUUUGAUGGCAGCUCUCUCUUGUGUUUGUGGCUGCAAUUGCCUCUCCUUGGCAGGUCUGCUUUAGAGCAUCCGUGCCAUCGUGGCACCGUAGGGCUUCUCUGCCGGCAUAAUCUUCCCUGUGGGAAUCUUUCACUGAGCAAGGACAAGAGACUUAUAGAAAGUUACAAAGGUCUUGUGAAAAAAAGAUCCUGAUCUUGUUGAAACAAGAAGAUGGGGAAGCACGUGCUUUGCUUAAAAUGUGGCAGAAUUGCCGAAGUUGCUGUAGCUGAGUGACCUCUGCUCGUGACAAAAUCAACAAUAUGGAAACCAGACCUUCAGCAUUUAGGCUGUCCACCUCCAACUGAAGACCUACCCACCGUGUGUCCUGUACCUCGCAAUCGGAGUGAGAAAUUCACUAACCAAUCAGAGUAGAGUAACUGUGUAUCUGUAUUAGGUGAAGGAAACUAAUCACAAGUGCAUAAAUGUACAUAGCCUUGCUACUUCAGGGGGCAGCUUUGUGUCUAACCCCCUCUCGCCCUGUGUUUGCCUAAAUUAAUGAAAUAAAUGAAAAUACCUUGGCUCUGUAUAUAUUUUGGCAUCUUGCAUACCAGGUGAAUGACCCCACUUUUGGUAUAACGAGGUAUAACACUCGCGGCGUCCGUGUGUAGUCCUGGUCUGUGUGUGAGGGUUGGAGCUGCCCUGCCCAGGGAUGCAGCAGUACUGAAGAUGACAGGGUAGCGUAGCUUUAUGGGGCUGUGGAAGUAAGUUGGUCUGGACCAAUUCUGUUGGCAGAGACCAUAUGGUCCAUCUCUGGGCAAACAGGUGUAGGCAGCUGCCACGGUUGUGUUCGCUUUUCUUUACGGUCCAGGGCUAGGAUUGGAUCCAGCCACACCUAGACUCCUCUGAGAAGGAGUUUAGAAAGCAAGGGGGUCCAGUCUGAACCUCGUGACUGGUUGGGAGCAGCAGUUAGUGUGGAAGGGGAGCGGGUCAGAUCUGGAAGGUGCCUUAGCUUGCACAGAUGGGGCUCCCUAGCUGGGUUUUCUUCUUCUAGCUGUAGUGAGAAGGUAUAUGCAAAAGGCAGAGAGACCUCUGGCCUCACCAAGCUACCUGUGGCUGUGCAGGUGACUUGCUUUACAGGGUGUGUUUGUGUUGUUUCAGGUGCAGAGCAACAAGCAGCAAGGCCAAGGGCACGGAAGAGGGGAGCAGAGUGCCGGCUGAAGAAGGACAGGCAUCCAGCGCCGGAGUAUCGGCAGGACAGCUGGUGGUUCUGACAAGCUUGAGCUUCUCUGGCUGGAUUUUCUGGGUGCAAAUCCAAGUGUGAAGCGAGAUGUUAUCAGCAGAGCGGCCUCUGGCAAGAUGGAGACAUACAAGUAGCGGUGACCAGAUCUGUGCUUGAAAAUGGACUUGAUGGAGAGUACCAAACUUCUCUUUCAUUGCAGUCUGUAAUGAUUUUUUUGGCCUCAAAUGUUUUUUGUGCUGCUUCUCAAACACGCUUUCCCAGCCUUUUUUUAAAUGUAAGCAGACAUUGAAAGAAAAACCAGCACUAAGAAUAUUGAUGGAGAAAGAAUUGUGCACAAUUUCAGAACUUCACAGACUUCUUUAUAAGACUUACUUAUUUGAACAAGUGACACACUUGUUGCUAAUCAAUUAAUAACGCAUUAUUUUUCACUUCAUAAUGGAGUCACAAGCUGCUGUCACCAGACCCUGGUCUCUGGGAGGCUCUUUGUAGAAAAUCAUGCAUAGGAAUAGGAUCAUCCUCUAGGAAAGCUGGAAACACUGUGGUUCAUAAGUUGGAUUUUUUUGUGGAGUAAAACCUGGCCGUGUUGGGCAAGCCUCUUGGAAAUACCCCUGCUUUCCUAGGAACUUGCUGGAGAAAUCCCAAGGCAGACUGACCAUGACACCUGAAGCAGAUACCAGCCACCGGUGUGUUCAGAUGCUGAACAAAUAUUUCUCAUCCUCCCUUUCAACUGUUGGAAACCUGCCAGAGUUAAAUCCCAUCUUUAAUUUCUGGAGCUUUGCUGUUUUCCUUAUUUUUCUGCCUAAGGUGCAUGAUCUGAGGUGUUAACUUGAACUUGGACUGGAAGAUGCAGUUAAAAUACUCAUCUUUAUGCAGAAAGCAACCAGGGAAGACAUUCUCAAGUCAUCACCUGACUUGGUUUAUUUCUCCAUGCAGAAAAACUCAUAGGUAUGUAAAGCAAAAAGCUCAGGUCUUAAGAGGCAGUAUGGGUUACUUUAAUAUAUGCCAAUUGGUGUGGGGAGAAAUUCAUUCUGUUGUAGUAAAAACAUCUCCAUCUUAAUAGACCUAGCAGACUUUAUUUGUUUACAAAACCUUUAGUACCAAAAAAUACAUUAAUAAAAGAGGCUAGAAAAACAUAUUGGAAAUAUUAGUCUGUACUGGCAAAGGAUUCUUUUAACAAUUUUACGUGAAGAUUUUCCAGAAUUUGGGGGGAGGGGGGGGAGAAAAAGAAAUUUACCUGGAAAACCAUGCUGACUGCAAGAGGAAGAACACCAUUUGGCAUCUGAUUUUUUUUUUUUUUAAACUGACUUUUGUUACCUAACCAAACACUUUCACUUACUGGUUUUAUCAAAGCUACAACAAUUGUGAGAACAUCCCACACUAAUAUGAAAUUAGUUUGUUGUCUAAUCAAAAAUACUUUAAAAUAACCUCUGUCUCUGAGCAGGGCUUGGCCUGCUAAACUCACAGCUCUGAUCUUGAGGGAAUGAGUCCUCAGAGAAGAGCAGGGACAGGACUGAUGUCAUUCACAACAUUUUUCCCUGGCUGCCUGGAGCCUGAUAGCUGGUUCCAGCUCUUCUACCUUCAGCAGGGAUCAGUGGGAAUCUCAGCAGGAGGUUUAAACACCCCCCUCUGUCUCCCAGCAAAGGUCUGCUGUUGUGUGUUCACAUCUCCUUCACACUUUCCCUGCUCCUGCAUUUUCUCCAAGAUCUUUUCUCCUCCUCUUUUGAGGAAGAUGCCAGAGUGACAGUAACAAAAGCUGGAACUUUUGGUAAAAAUACAUUCAGUAUUUCUGCAUGUCAUGGACUUCUAGGCAGUGUUAGGUGCUUGCUACAGCUACAGCCAUCUCCAGGUUUUCUCUUAACUUUCUGCAAGGGAGCUGUGCACAGUGGUAAAUAGCAUGAUGCAAAUCAGACUCACCAUAAACUCCUGUGAGAUGGGCAGUUGUUGUACAGAGCAUCUUUGAAAGGGGAGCAAAAGCAAAGCUCAAGGGAUGACAUGAUACCUCUCUAAUGGUUUCCUGACUGAUUUGCAUGUAUGCAGAUUUAUGCAUUCUGUUUGUAUGUACUUGUUUCCCAAAGCUCUGUAUGAUUCAUUUAUUUCAUCCUGGUUUUGUAGUAGCUUGAAAUUUAUCCAUGCACUGUUCAGUAUCUGGUCCUAUUGCCCUCAAAAGUGUUGAGGUUCCUCAAUCACAUUCAGCUGUUCCCCCUAAAUGACUUCUUCAGGAUCAGGUUGGAAGCACCUGAGGAACAGAAACAGUCUUUUCUUAUGCUGUACUGACAGGUACAUUUUCACU